rnacentral:rRNA from 1 species
GACGAACGCUGGCGGCGUGCUUAACACAUGCAAGUCGAACGAUGAAGCCGGAGCUUGCUCUGGUGAAUUAGUGGCGAACGGGUGAGUAACACGUGAGUAACCUGCCCUUGACUCUGGGAUAACUGCGGGAAACUGCAGCUAAUACCGGAUACGACCCUCGGAGGCAUCUCCUGGGGGUGGAAAGAAUUUCGGUCAAGGAUGGACUCGCGGCCUAUCAGCUAGUUGGUGAGGUAAAGGCUCACCAAGGCGACGACGGGUAGCCGGCCUGAGAGGGUGACCGGCCACACUGGGACUGAGACACGGCCCAGACUCCUACGGGAGGCAGCAGUGGGGAAUAUUGCACAAUGGGCGCAAGCCUGAUGCAGCAACGCCGCGUGAGGGAUGACGGCCUUCGGGUUGUAAACCUCUCUUAGCAGGGAAGAAGCGAAAGUGACGGUACCUGCAGAAAAAGCACCGGCUAACUACGUGCCAGCCGCCGCAGUAA